rnacentral:rRNA from 1 species
GUGAGGAAUUUUCCGCAAUGGGCGAAAGCCUGACGGAGCAAUGCCGCGUGAAGGAUGAAGGCCUAUGGGUUGUAAACUUCUUUUCUCAGAAAAGAAUUAUGACGGUAUCUGAGGAAUAAGCAUCGGCUAACUCUGUGCCAGCAGCCGCGGUAAGACAGAGGAUGCAAGCGUUAUCCGGAAUGAUUGGGCGUAAAGCGUCUGUAGGUUGUUUAAAAAGUAUUCUGUCAAAGAUUAGGGCUUAACCCUAGAUAGGCAGAAUAAACUUUUAAGCUAGCGUUUGGUAGAGGCAGAGGGAAUUCCCGGUGGAGCGGUGAAAUGCGUAGAUAUCGGGAGGAACACCAAAGGCGAAGGCACUCUGCUGGGCCAAUACUAACACUGAGAGACGAAAGCGAGGGGAGCAAAUGGGAUUAGAUACCCUGGUAGUCC